GCAGUGAUGACUUCACUGGCAAUGAUUAUCAAAACUGAUAUAGCCACAUUUCCUCUAAGAAGUUCUGAGCUU